UACGGAAGGCAGCAGUGGGGAAUAUUGCACAAUGGGCGCAAGCCUGAUGCAGCCAUGCCGCGUGUAUGAAGAAGGCCUUCGGGUUGUAAAGUACUUUUCAGCGGGGAGGAAGGCGAUGCGGUUAAUAACCGCGUCGAUUGACGUUACCCGCAGAAGAAGCACCGGCUAACUCCGUGCCAGCAGCCGCGGUAAUACGGAGGGUGCAAGCGUUAAUCGGAAUUACUGGGCGUAAAGCGCACGCAGGCGGUCUGUUUAAGUCAGAUGUGAAAUCCCCGGGCUUAACCUGGGAACUGCAUUUUGAACUGGCAGGCUUGAGUCUUGUAGAGGGGGUAGAAUUCCAGGUGUAGCGGUGAAAUGCGUAGAGAUCUGGAGGAAUCCGGUGGCGAAGGCGGCCCCUGGGACAAGACUGACGCUCAGGGUGCGAAAGCGUGGGGAGCAAACGAGGAUUAGGAUACC
rnacentral:rRNA from 1 species